AACGAACGCUGGCGGCAUGCCUAACACAUGCAAGUCGAACGAUCCCUUCGGGGAUAGUGGCGCACGGGUGCGUAACGCGUGGGAACCUGCCCUUAGGUUCGGAAUAACUCAGAGAAAUUUGAGCUAAUACCGGAUAAUGUCUUCGGACCAAAGAUUUAUCGCCUUUGGAUGGGCCCGCGUUGGAUUAGCUAGUUGGUGGGGUAAAGGCCUACCAAGGCGACGAUCCAUAGCUGGUCUGAGAGGAUGAUCAGCCACACUGGGACUGAGACACGGCCCAGACUCCUACGGGAGGCAGCAGUGGGGAAUAUUGGACGAUGGGCGAAGGCCUGAUCCAGCAAUGCCGCGUGAGUGAUGAAGGCCUUAGGGUUGUAAAGCUCUUUUACCCGGGAUGAUAAUGACAGUACCGGGAGAAUAAGCCCCGGCUAACUCCGUG
rnacentral:rRNA from 1 species